AAUAGGUUCACUGAAAAUUCAUAUAUCGUAGUCUAAACAUAUUCACAAAUUGGCAGCAUUUCAGUGGUUUUACCAACAGAGAUCACUACGUUUCCCUUCUAUUUUCAUUCUUUCUCAUUAUGCUAACCAAGUAGGGCAGCAAAACUAAGUUAGAUGAAAAAACGAGUAGCUUGAAAGAAUAGGAUUAGAAAUGAGCAUAUUUUAUCAGUCUAUUAGGUACUAGACCAAUGAUCAAACAUCUGUCAAAGCAAAAAGAAGGUUAAAACACAUGACUGCUCUGAGUAUGUGAUAGGGAAGAUUUCCGGGUGCUUUUCUUUUCAACAAAUCCUAUAUUGAAAACUGUGCAUGACUGGGUUUCCCUGGAUUUGCACUUUCUGCAGCUUUUGCAGUUGUAGGUCCAUA
rnacentral:misc_RNA from 1 species